UACAGAGGUGGCAAGCGUUGUUCGGAAUUACUGGGCGUAAAGGGCGCGUAGGCGGCCAUCUAAGUCAGACGUGGAAAUCCCCCGGCUUAACCUGGGAACUGCGUCUGAUACUGGAAGGCUUGAGUAUGGGAGAGGGAUGUAGAAUUCCAGGUGUAGCGGUGAAAUGCGUAGAUAUCUGGAGGAAUACCGGUGGCGAAGGCGGCAUCCUGGAGCCAUUUACUGACGCUGAGGCGACGAAAGCUGAGGGGAGCAAACGGGG
rnacentral:rRNA from 1 species